UGAACCGGGAGCUCAUAUAGAGCAAGUGGACCGGACAUAACCCCCACCUCCAGAGCAGCUUCACCGAGUGAGAGAGCAGCCUGAGCGCCCAACUGAAUACCUGUCUCCAACCAACCAAACUACAUCGCUUCGACAAAAGCUAAGGAAAGCUGAGCGACAACACUAAGGAGAGAAGGACAGCGACGGUGAACGCCACACAUCGAAGCUUUGAGGAGAGCAAACCCGCAAGACACCUCGAACAGGAGUCUGAGUUAACACAUCUCCACGCGCCGCCACCAGAGCUGCCUCCUAGCAAGAGAGCAAGCUCACCGCCGAGGAAGAGCUCCACGCGCAACCACCUCAGACCACGAUGGAUACAAAGCUCGGACAAAGAACCUGAGUUAGAAAUAACCCGGAUCCGAGACCUAGAGGGCCUCA
rnacentral:lncRNA from 1 species